AAAGGUCCGGAGCCGAAGGGAAACCAAGUCUGAAAAGGGCCACAGUCAGUCGGAGCAGACCCGAAACCGGGUGAUCUACCCAUGUCCAGGUUGAAGUUGCCGUAAAAGGCAAUGGAGGACCGAACCCACAUCCGUUGAAAAGGGUGGGGAUGAGGUGUGGGUAGGGGAGAAAUUCCAAUCGAACCCGGAGAUAGCUGGUUCUCCUCGAAAUAGCUUUAGGGCUAGCCUCAUAUUAGUCUUGCGGAGGUAGAGCACUGAAUUCCUGCGGGGGCGUCAAAGCUUACCAAGGGAUAUCAAACUCCGAAUGCCGUGUAGAUGAUGUAUGGGAGUCAGACGAUCCGAGAUAAGUUGGGUGGUCAAAAGGGAAAGAGCCCAGACCUGCAGCUAAGGCCCCAAAAUGUGUGUUAAGUGGAAAAGGAUGUGGGAUUUCGAAGACAACUAGGAUGUUGGCUUAGAAGCAGCCAUCCAUUAAAAGAGUGCGUAAUAGCUCACUAGUCGAGAGGUCCUGCGCCGAAAAUGUCCGGGGCUGAAACACACUGCCGAAGCUCAGGGAUUUACGAAUGUAAAUCGGUAGAGGAGCAUUGUUAACUGGACGAAGCGGUACCGGAAGGAGCCGUGGACGGUUAAGAAGAGAGAAUGCCGGAAUGAGUAGCGAGAGGAAGGUGGGAAUCCUUCCGGCCGAAUAUCUAAGGUUUCCAGGGUAAAGCUGAUCUGCCCUGGGUAAGUCGGGACCUAAGGCGAGGUCGAAAGACGUAGUCGAUGGACAACAGGUUGAAAUUCCUGUACUGCCUUGUAACAGAACUGUGGGGACGCAGGCAGAGAGCGUGAGCCGGGAGUGGAAAGACCGGUGCAAGCGAGGUAGGAGUGCAUUAGGCAAAUCCGGUGCACAAUCCGAAGACGUGACGCGGACCGAAAAAAAGUAGGGAAGCACGUGAGCUGACUGCCAAGAAAAGCCGCUAUUGUUUGCAGGGUACCCGUACCGUAAACCGACACAGGUGGAUGAGGAGAGAAUCCUAAGGCCGACGGGAGAAGCAUUGUUAAGGAACUCGGCAAAAUGACUCCGUAACUUCGGGAGAAGGAGUGCCAAUGAGAAUUGGCCGCAGAGAAUUGGCCCAAGCAACUGUUUAGCAAAAACACAGGUCUAUGCGAAACCGAAAGGUGAGGUAUAUGGGCUGACGCCUGCCCGGUGCUGGAAGGUUAAGGGGAGAGGUUAGCGCAAGCGAAGCUUUGAACUUAAGCCCCAGUAAACGGCGGCCGUAACUAUAACGGUCCUAAGGUAGCGAAAUUCCUUGUCGGGUAAGUUCCGACCCGCACGAAAGGCGUAAUGAUUUGGGCACUGUCUCAACAAUGCACCCGGUGAAAUUGAAAUACCAGUGAAGAUGCUGGUUACCUGCGCCAGGACGGAAAGACCCCAUGGAGCUUUACUCCAGCUUGAUACUGGGAUUCGGUAUUGCAUGUACAGGAUAGGUGGGAGGCUAAGAAG
rnacentral:rRNA from 1 species